rnacentral:rRNA from 1 species
CUAAGAAUAUUCCGCAAUGGGGGGAACCCUGACGGAGCGACGCCGCGUGGACGAGGAAGGCCGGCAGGUUGUAAAGUCCAUUUGUACGCGGGGAAUAAGCGGGCGAGGUAAUGCGUCCGCGGUGACGGUAGCGUGCGAAUAAGGGGCGGCUAAUUACGUGCCAGCAGCCGCGGUAACACGUAAGCCCCGAGCGUUGUUCGGAAUCAUUGGGCGUAAAGGGCAUGUAGGCGGCCGCGCAAGCCCGGUGUGAAAUCCCGGGGCUCAACUCCGGGAGUGCGCCGGGAACUGCGCGGCUGGAGUAGCCGUGGGGCAGCCGGAAUUCCGGGUGGAGGGGUGAAAUCUGCAGAUAUCCGGAAGAACACCGAUGGCGAAGGCAGGCUGCCAGCGGAUUACUGACGCUGAGGUGCGAAGGCGCGGGGAGCGAACAGG